rnacentral:lncRNA from 1 species
GAAUAACUUUUGGAAAAGGAUACCCUAUCUUAAUCAAGAGUACAGGUAGAUCCAGACAUUACUUAUUUUUCCAUGGGCCAGAUCAUGAGGAAUUGUACUUGGAACCGGAAAACCCCGGAGCAUGAGGACUUGGACUUCAUUUGAACACUGAAUAGUUGUAUUUAGAAUGAGUAAUUAAAUUUUUAUACGGAAUAUGAAGAAAAUCUAGAUGAAGAUGCUAAAUAAUUAAUGGGAAUUAUGAAUAUAGGUUUUAUUGAUGAUAACCUCGACGAAAAUUGUAGCGGCUUCAUUCAUCAGUGAAUAUUUAAGUUAAAUAUUUUUUUGCCUUUAGACGCGACUAUAGGUCGAUCAAGAUAUUGUUUAUUUUCCCAUGUACCCGGAGCAUCAUAACUUGGACUCAGAACCAGAAAGAUCCGAAGCAUGUGGACUCAGGCUAUACCUGAACACUGAAAAGAUGGACUCAAAUACAGCUC